rnacentral:rRNA from 1 species
CAGAGUGCCAAGUGGGCCACUUUUGGUAAGCAGAACUGGCGCUGUGGGAUGAACCAAACGCCGAGUUAAAGCGCCUAAAUCGACGCUUAUGGGAUACCAUGAAAGGCGUUGGUAACUUAAGACAGCAGGACGGUGGCCAUGGAAGUCGGAAUCCGCCAAGGAGUGUGUAACAACUCACCUGCCGAAGUUACUAGCCCUGAAAAUGGAUGGCGCUGAAGCGUCGUGCUUAUACUCUGCCGUCAGCGGCAUGUGAGACGGUCCUUAAGAGGUCGUCAUGAAGCCCUGACGAGUAGGAGGGUCGCGGCGGUGAGCGCAGAAGGACCAGGCGCGAGCCAGUCUGGAGCCGCCGUCGGUGCAGAUCUUGGUGGUAGUAGCAAAUACUCCAGCGAGGCCCUGGAGGACUGACGUGGAGAAGGGUUUCGUGUGAACAGCCGUUGCACACGAGUCAGUCGAUCCUAAGCCAUAGGCGAAAGCCGAUGUCGAUGCGGUGUAUCUUUCGGUGUCUGUAUGCGCGCGGCUUUUUCUACUGCUGCUGCUGCUGUUAGGGCGGAGAGACUCACACCCGUCGGGCGAAAGGGAAUCCGGUUCCUAUUCCGGAACCCGGCAGCGGAACCGUUAUUAAGUCGUGCCCUCAUUCAGAGAGUUCGUCGGGGCAACCCAAAAGGACCUGGAAACGCCGCCGGGAGAUCCGGGAAGAGUUUUCUUUUCUGCAUAAGCGCUCGAGUUCCAUGGAAUCCUCUAGCAGGGAGAUAUGGUUUGGAGCGCGAAGAGCACCGCAGUUGCGGCGGUGUCCGGAUCUUCCCCUCGGACCUUGAAAAUCCAGGAGAGGGCCACGUGGAGGCGUCGCGCCGGUUC